rnacentral:rRNA from 1 species
UACAGAGGGGGCAAGCGUUGUUCGGAAUUACUGGGCGUAAAGGGCGCGUAGGCGGCCUUCUAAGUCGAAACGUGGAAAUCCCCGGGCUCAACCCGGGAACUGCGUCCGAUACUGGAAAGGCUUGAAUCCGGGAGAGGUGAGUGGAACUGCGAGUGUAGAGGUGAAAUUCGUAGAUAUUACGCAAGAACACCAGUGGCGAAGGGCGGACUC